AGGACGAACGCUGGCGGCGUGCUUAACACAUGCAAGUCGAGCGGUAAGGCCUUUCGGGGUACACGAGCGGCGAACGGGUGAGUAACACGUGGGUGAUCUGCCCUGCACUCUGGGAUAAGCCUGGGAAACUGGGUCUAAUACCGGAUAUGACCUGCUCUCGCAGUGGGGGUGGGUGGAAAGAUUUAUCGGUGCAGGAUGGGCCCGCGGCCUAUCAGCUUGUUGGUGGGGUAAUGGCCUACCAAGGCGACGACGGGUAGCCGACCUGAGAGGGUGACCGGCCACACUGGGACUGAGACACGGCCCAGACUCCGUACGGGAGGCAGCAGUGGGAAUAUGCACAAUGGGCGAAAGCCUGAUGCAGCCGACGCCGCGUGAGGAUGAAGGCCGUUCGGGUUAGUAAACCUCUUUCAGCGAGGACGAAGCGACGAAGU
rnacentral:rRNA from 1 species